rfam:Drosophila virilis strain TSC#15010-1051.87 Ctg01_14972, whole genome shotgun sequence.
AAGCACAUGAUGAGACACUUGAACUGAAACGUUGUUGUGGUCUAUUUUUGAACACUUCGAUGUUAACAAGGGAUGGUCGCAUUUGCGAGGCAUUUGUCUGAUGCAUUU